rnacentral:rRNA from 1 species
ACGGCUCAGUAACACGUGGACAAUCUGCCCUCGAGACGGGGAUAAUCCCGGGAAACUGGGGAUAAUACCCGAUAGAUCCGGAAUGAUGGAAGGCUUCCAGGUCGAAAUCCUGCGGGGCUCGAGGAUGGGUCUGCGGCCUAUCAGGUCGUAGGGGGUUUCACGGACCCCCUAGCCGAAGACGGGUACGGGCUUUGGGAGAAGUCGCCCGGAGAUGGAUUCUGAGACACGAAUCCAGGUCCUACGGGACGCAGCAGGCGCGAAACCUCCACAAUGUGGGAAACCACGAUGGGGGAACUCCAAGUGCCUACACUCAGUGUAGGCUGUUCUCGAGCCUAAAAAGCUCGAGAAGUAAGGGCCGGGUAAGACGGGUGCCAGCCGCCGCGGUAAUACCCGUGGCCCGAGUGGUGCUCAUUAUUAUUGAGCCUAAAGCGUCCGUAGCUGGCCGGACAAAUCUCCGGGUAAAUCGGGCGGCUCAACCGUCCGAAUUCCGGAGACACUGUUCGGCUUGAGAUCGGGAGAGGGAGAAGGUACUCCAGGGGUAGGGGUAAAAUCCUGUAAUCCGUGGGGGACCACCGGUGGCGAAGGCGUUCUCCUAGAACGAAUCUGACAGUGAGGGACGAAGCCCUAGGGCGCAAACGGGAUUAGAUACCCCGGUAGUCUAGGGUGUAAACGCUGCAGACUUGGUGUUGGGGGUCCUGCGUGGGCUUCCAGUGCCGGAGCGAAGGUGUUAAGUCUGCCGCUUGGGGAGUACGGUCGCAAGACUGAAACUUAAAGGAAUUGGCGGGGGAG